AGGAGAAAAACACGGGAUUAGUGCCAAAGUGCUAAUAUGGGAGCAAAAGGGUGCGGGGAAAAGGAUCCGUCCUAUUGCCUCUGAUCUGGCAGGAACCCAGUGGCAGUGCUGCCACUGCAGCUUAUGCGGUGGGAAGCGGGAUCCAUGGAUCCUGUUUCUGUUCUAGGAGAGCUGUAAUUGAGGAGCCAGAGCAGGAAGCUAGGAGACGGGCUCUGGCAUCGCCUUCCUUCCCUGUCUGAGUACAGGGCGAGGUCACUGCUGCCUGAUGUCGAUGCUCCUGCACACAAACUGUGGCACAGCAGACAGGACCCUGCCCAGAAGCUCGCUGCAGCUCACAAAGCAUGGACAGAAGUACCCCUCGUGUGCAUGGCAGAGCUCAGCACCCAGACACCACCACCCCAGCCUGGAGAUGCACGGUUCAAAGCAUCACAUGCAAACCUCGUUGCAAGGCGGGCUGCACGCAGCGGCAGCCAGGAAGCAGGGCGUGUUUGUUCCCAGCAGAAACCCACAUGUUUUAGCAGCCAUGAACUGCUCCGUGAACCCCCACGCCCCUUCCGACACAGAAGUAAUCGUCCCAUUAUUUUCACAGCACACAUCUGGGUCCGCCAGGUCAUGAACGUUACACGGCUGGGAUGCUGUUCUGCUUACAGAGAGGCAGACACCUGAGGUCCCUGGCUGAUGAAAGGCCAAAGAGCAGGAGGCAGCUGCACAGCAAGCAGAGCCUUCACUGAAUGAAAUGGCCAAACGCUCAGCACCACGGGCCCCUGCUGGGGACACCCUAAGAACUGUCACACUGAGCAGGGACAGAGCUGGGCAGCUCUGCUGGCACCACCAGCCCAGCACAGCUGUUAAGAACGGGGAAAGCCAAUCUCAGUGCUAAUUCACUUGUGCUGCUCCUUCCCUCCCCAAGCCCCCACUGGACCAAGGGGAUGUGGUGCUGGGACCCUGCUCCAAUGAUUGUGCAGCUCCUGCCCCAGCACAGCACUGCGGCUGUGGGGAAAGCUCGGCAGGCACAGGGCUGCAGAGCUGCUGGAUACUUCCUGCACUUCAAAUCAAUUUUGCAGGUAAUUAUUUCACCUUUUAUUACUUUGUAUUCCUAAGUUAUUAAAAACGCUGUCCUGGUGGGUUUGCACAUUGCACUUCCAGCUGUGUGUGCACCAGCAGCUGCUCAGACUGCAGAACACACCGUUAUUUGCAGUCCCCUGGAGCUGAGCAACACCAGAUGGCACGGGGACCACGCGGAGCUGUGCCCUUAACCCAAAAACGUGCCUUCCAUCUAGGGCAGAAAACUGGCAUCCAACAAACGGAUGUAGUUGCACACCGGAACUGCAAGAUUCAGGGUGAGUGCACGCACGUGGAUGCACUAAGCCCUCCCUGGCUGUGCUGCCAGCCCGCAGGAUGCUGCCAGCACCUCUGGGCAGGGCCACGUCCCUGCCAGGGGACAGCAUGGGAGCAGAUGGGGAAACUGAGAAUCCCUCACACCAGUGCUGGCCUGCAGAUCGCUGGCACGCGUCCAAGCUGCUUUCCCCAGCUGGGGCCCAGAGCUGCUCAUUGCUGAGCACAACGCAGCUCCUCCAGCACCAGUACAGCCGGGCUGGGUGCCCUCCUGCCUGUGGGAUGGGGGUCCUGGGUUGUUUAUUUCUGCAGCGGCCCUUGGGAAAACAAAGAAAGAAAGAAACAAAAACCAGAUAAAUCAUCAGUUAAAUAUGUCCCUCUAUACAGAGAGGGACAGGGCAGAUGUGGCACAGCCCCUCUCUCCUGAGAAUAAUGGGUCUGUGAGUGUCAGAGAGUCCGCAUUCAGGGCAGACCACCAUUCUGCCCAGAACUAUAGGGCUGGAAAACCCCAGGAUAAAAUAAAAGCCUUACGAGGAGUGCACUGAAACGAGCACCUGAAAACCCAGCCAGGACAGGUGUGAGAAGAGGAAGAGAUCCCAGCAAUAGCUAAGGGACUUUUCUUCUUGGUUGCAGGGAGUGUGGCUUUAUCAGUGCUUUCAUUCAUCCCACCUGGCUGCAGCAGACGUCUUAAGACUGCUCUCCCAGGAAGCUUUAGGCACAUACUUCAGCGCUACAAAAACACAGCAGAUGUGACACAGUCUCAGAAGAACUGCAGCUUGUCACGUCAGGACCAGCUGCAGCUCUGCCCUAACGACACGCAAGUCAAACUGCAGGGAAUAAAAGUGAGGCUUCACCAGAAGGCAGAGGGCCGGCUGGCGCUGUGGGGCUUCGGCCCUGGGGUUCACUGGCUGGGACAAAGCAAGGAGCAGCCACGUGCGGAUGAGAUUUAGCUCAAGUCAUCUCCUGACAUCUGGCCGGGUGGGCACUGUGCAGGGGACACCAGCUGGUGACUGUCCUGGCUGGCAGCACACGGAGGAGGCUUCCAGGCCCCCAGAACCGACAGCUGUGGCAAGCCCCUGCGAUGCAGCCCUGGGGGUGAAUGGUGUUGAAUGUCAGUGAGAUGCUGCUUUCGGGUCGCGCCUGCGGGGAAGGCUGGUUCUGCACUGACCGCUGAUGGCUGCCCCUGACCUGUGGGGGGGAUGGAGCUGCAGGAGCUGGAGGUCAAAGCAAACAGGAAUGGCUCACGCUGAUGACUUCAUCUGGGAAACACAUUGCUCCUCUGUCAUCAAGGACACAAAAAAAACAUCCCGAAAGGAAGGAAGAGGGAGACAAUUUGAUAUCGGGCCCCAAGAGACAGGGGCCGGGCGGCCAGUGUCAGUGCCAGGCUCUGCAGUCAGAUCCUCGUCACUCAGUGCUCGACACAAUUGCUGUCAGGCAUCUCCUCGUCCACCCAGCAACAGCUUCCGAAUCACAGUGGCAAACUGUGACAACAAAUCUUCCUACCCCCACCUCUCAGCCCAAAGGUUCAUUUUAAGCCACAUUUGUUAGAAAUACUCCAUCAAACCAUUUUCUGUGCAGGAGAAACCAGUGUGCUACUGCUGCCUCCUGGCACUGCCCCUCUGUACAACAGUGGGUUACUCACGAGCCAUCUGAAUCCUAGGCAUUUCUCUAGGAAAUACAUGGCUGUCUGUCUGUCCCAGCCUGCCUGCAGGUCCAGGCGAGCGGCUGCAUUCCCCUCAUUCCAGCCCAGACAGCGCUGCUCACAUUCCUCCCAUUCGAGGGGUUGCACUCGCUGGGUCAGCUGCAGGAGCUGCACAGUAACACAGCAUGAUGGCUGGGCUUGCAAAUUCUAAGGGCAUGCCAAGAAAUAGAUUUUCUAUCACAGAAAGGCUUAUUCAUUACCUUCUGGUAUUCAAAAUAGCUCUAGGGCUGGGAGAGGUUAAACAGAGUGGAAGGAAUUGGGAAAACUCACUCUGACCCUAUCCUGCAAGGCACAAAGCAUCACGAAAUACUACUGAAGCCAAGAGAAGCACAUGAUGAUCAGCACCCCACAUGAUUCAGGUCUUUAUCCAUUUAUGAUUCCCAUCCCCACACAGGAUGGCUGCCAUUUGGUUCCCUCCAGACCUGCGUUAUCUGAGAGAUGCAGCCAGCCAGCCUGCAGCACUGGGUCUGUAGGAUCAGCUCUCAGCAAGGCCACAGCCCUUCCUGCACCUCCUUUGGCCAGCCAGCCCCAAAAUAAGGCAGAUCAGAGCAGACUGCAAAGGAGUCUGCUCUGACCUAGCAAAAUUCAGGGCCUGCUUUAGACACAAGUCAUUCUGUUAGUGUUACCCCACAGACACCAGUGAUUUCAUCUGCUGUUCAGAGCAGUUCCAUUUGCAUAUGCAGACACACACUAAAGCACCCAGCUGCUAAAACUUCCAAGACUCAGAAAAUAAGACUCUAAGAUAAAUCACCCCGUGUUUAGCAUGUCCGGGAAUGCCAAUAAUACAUCCAAAAACUUGAGGCUGAUUUCAUGAUUCUCAGCCUGUUAAGAGGCAGGUGAUGUGCUAGAUCCAUACAUUCCACCUUUUAUCUGCCAUCAGAGACUCCUCUUCAGCCACAAAGCUCUGCUUUCUUUUCUGGACCCAUAUGGUGAAGGCUGAGGUUGCUGCAGUGCACCUGCCCCUGUUGCCACGGCCACCCCAGAGCAUACUGAGCACCUUCCUGGUCUCCAAGGCUCCAUCCCCUGCAUCUCUGGCUGGGCACCCAUAACCAGCAAGCCCUAAACCAAACCCACACCCGCUAACCAGGAAGAAAGCUUCAGAAACUCAGUACAGGAAACUUCUCCUGGCCAUGACUUCCUGGCUGGGCUGCGGAGUGACUGGCGGGUGUCUGGAACAGAGCCCAGGGCACGGCUGAAACAACAGGACAUGCAACAAGGGACAGUUCCCAUCUGAGUAUAGCAUUCAUCACCACUCCCUGCACAACAAGGAGAGUUGGGAGACUUCAUCUACGACAGCCACACAGAAGCACACAAUGGAGAAUUCUUUAUGAGAAGCUGUGAUACAAGAAACAACUCUCUCUCAAGAUAGUGCUGCACCCAGAAGUAAUUUAAUAUAGGUGGGUAUGGUACAGCCCACUGACUGCACAUGGGUUAUGAAUAGAGGCAUUCAAGUCAACCCGAAUAAAGGCCAAUAACUCAACUUACAUUUUACACUGAGUUUUUUGAAUGCUGUAGGGGCCAACACAGGACUAAAACAACAUGAGGUCUGACCGUCUUGCAGCUUUCCAGCAGCCUAGCGCUGUUCAGGAAGACAAGUUCUUUUGUUGUUCCAGCUCCAGGAAAGGCUCUGCUGGCCUUACAAAAAUCAGAGGAAAAGCCACCCUGCAGACACAACCCAAGGAACAUGCUCCUACACAGGGGCUGCCUGGUGCCAGAGGCCAGCAGGGCUGCAUGGACACUGCUCCCUGCACAGUGCUGUGAGGACCGAGAACAAAGGCAGCUGCAGGAGUAGCAUGGUGUUGUCCAAGUUCGGCAGGAAAUGUCGAAAGCCAAGCAGGCACUCAUGGAGCAAAACAGCUAGAAUGCUCUGCGAGGAUGAGGAGUCAAUGCCUGCAGAGGAAUAAGCAACAACCCAGCACCCACUGGGAGCAGGGAGAGGGUUUCCCCAAAAACGGUACAAACCAGUCCUCUACAUUUCAACGUGACUGCCCAUCACACUUCAUCCUUGCAGGGAGGUUCCUACUUUAUGGCAAAACCACGAUGAAGAAGUAGGGCUUGCAGCCAAAUGCGCCCAAAUCCCAGUGUCAGUGUCCCCAGUAAAGCACCCCUGUCACGUGGAAAUAUGAGGGGGUAACAUGGGAGCUGUGCCAGUGAGAAAAGGGUCAGGGCACAUGGGAACAGCAAAUAUUUACAUUUUCAGGUCAGCACACAACCAAGAGAGACAUUUAAGGAGACAGUGGCUGGAGUUAAAGGGAAAGCUGUUGUUACUGUUUCCCUGGCUACAGCAUGCUCCGUGUUGAAGUAUCCAUGUCUGGACACCUUAUUUACAGAAAGUCCCAGCGAAACUGGCAGCAGUCCUGCAGGGCUCUGCCGAAACCAGCACUGGAAUAGGUUGUGAGCAGGCUGGGGAAAAGACAGAUGAAUCUGGAAGGCUUCUGCCUCAUGGGAAGGUAAUUAAGAAGCAAAAUGAUGGCUAUUUAAAGCAGGCUAACAGUUAUCCUUGAUUUGAGGUCAGAGAACAGAGCACAGCGAUGGCACCUGAGCUCACCCCAGAAGGGGUGUUCGGGGAGGAUUCUGAGAAGGGAUUAUUUCUCCUGCUCACUGGGUUUCUGCCAAAUACUCAUAUCAGGAAAACUAUCCCAUUAAAGUCAACACGGAUGAAUAAGCUGAAAUGAACACACUCAAAGGUUUGGUCACUCUGGGACCCUUCUGCUGAUGACACUUUGCAAAAGCAAGGCAGGUAAAUAGAGGAGGGUAAAACAUGGCCACCAGGAUGGUCCACGGACCCUCACUGAUGUCCCCAGGCCUCUGGGCACCUUUGGCAACAUUCCUGCUUCUCUGCCCACCUCAGCCUGCACCCACCUGACCGAUGUUGCACUGCAACAAUGAGAAACACACAGGCUGCAGCAAGACCGGUGGCUCUUUUAUCUCCUAACUCCUCAACCACAGGGAGAAACUCUAUGUAUACAUGGAAGCUUCCUUGCAAGCUAUUUACUGUGCACAUCUCUGCAGCGCACCUCAUCCCCUGCACAAACAACAUACUGGUUCCCAGGAGGGCUGCUGGGAACUUCUAUCAUCUCUGGGAUGCUCUCAAAACACCCAGACAGAGUGAGCCUCUCCCCUGUCCUCUGAGCUGCCAAGGCUGCUGGAUUCUGGCACAGACGCAUACAGUAAAGGCAAAGCCAUGGUUUACAUCAAACAUGCACUCUUCUGUAAUUCAUGUUGCUAACAUAAACCAGAUGCCAUCUUCCUCAGCCUCUGCAGAGAAUGAUCGCCUGCCUUUGCAUUACAUAAAACAGCAAGAAAAUGAAAUUUAAACCCUCAAGAAAAAGCAAAAUAAAUAAAUCAGUAAUUAGGUAAAAAACAUCCAAGCCAAAAAAAUCUUCCAAGUUUCCAGGAAGAAUUAGGUUGUUUAUGGAAGUCCUGUUUCGAUUAACAGCCUGCCUGGCAGGUGGUAGGAAUGUGAGUUUGCGGAGAGCAGAAACAUGAAGCAGCUCUGCCUGGGGGCACUGCGCUUUGCUUUGCCAUUUUCUUGUUUCAGUUAAACAAGAGGAGACAUCACAAAUGCUCAACAAAAGCAGCAGAAAGGAGAGCUGCACAUCAGAAGGGC